UUCUGCUCAAUGGUUAUCUAAAUAGCCGCAGUACCCUGACUGUGCGAAGGUAGCAUAAUCAAUUGGCUUAUAAUUGAAGUCUGGAAUGAAUGAAUGAAUGGGUAAAUACUGUCUCUUUAAAGUAUAAUGAACUUACUAAGGGAGUGAAAAUUCUCCUGAUAGUAUAAUAGACGAGAAGACCCUAGAAAUUUUUUAUAUUGUAUGUUAAUUAUUCUAUUUUGUUGGGGCGACAGAGUAACAUUUAACUUACUUUAACUAUAAGAAUUAAAUUGUAUGGAAAAUUAAAUUACUCUAGGGAUAACAGCAUAAUUUUAAAGAGUUUGUGACCUCGAUGUUGGACUAGGAAAUAUAUUGUUCAGAAGAUAAUAUAAAAGGCUCUGUUCGAGCAGUUUUUCCUACGUGAUCUGAGUUCAGACCGGA
rnacentral:rRNA from 1 species